rnacentral:rRNA from 1 species
CUACGGGAGGCAGCAGUGGGGAAUUUUCCGCAAUGGGCGAAAGCCUGACGGAGCAAUACCGCGUGAGGGAAGACUGCCUAUGGGUUGUAAACCUCUUUUUUCAGGGAGGAAUAAAUGACGUGUACCUGAAGAAUAAGCAUCGGCUAACUCCGUGCCAGCAGCCGCGGUAAGACGGAGGAUGCAAGUGUUAUCCGGAAUCACUGGGCGUAAAGCGUCUGUAGGUGGUUUAAUAAGUCAACUGUUAAAUCUUGAGGCUCAACUUCAAAAUCGCAGUCGAAACUAUUAGACUAGAGUAUAGUAGAGGUAAAGGGAAUUUCCAGUGGAGCGGUGAAAUGCGUAGAUAUUGGAAAGAACACCGAUGGCGAAAGCACUUUACUGGGCUAUUACUAACACUCAGAGACGAAAGCUAGGGUAGCAAAUGGGAUUAGAUACCCCAGUAGUCCUAGCCGUAAACAAUGGAUACUAGAUGUUGAACAGAUCGACCUGUGCAGUAUCAAAGCUAACGCGUUAAGUAUCCCGCCUGGGAAGUAUGCUCGCAAGAGUGAAACUCAAAG